AGGAAGAUCAAAAGAUGUACAAGCACCACAAAAGAAAGCUAGGAAAAGGUGCAAGCGCAGGGAACCUGGCAAAAGACUACCAGUUUUCAGGAGGAAGCGCAAAGAAGGAGACGCCAAAGAGCUGUGGAGGAAAGGACAUUGAAACGCUGUUGCUUCCCGCAGCAGACUGCAUUUGGCAGCCCAUACAUGCCUGUAAGCCAAACUUUCCCUGACCGAAUGUUUUUGGCCAAAAAUCAGAAUUGGGCUUCCAGUGCCAUCUAGUGCCACCACCAGCCCUCCUGCUUUGACCAAGUAACACGUCAUUCUAGGAGGGCCCCCAGGAUGGCUGACUUCUGAAGGAGCAGGUUAUGUUGUCUAUGUUCAUCGUGUGCAAUAUACGCAAUGGUUUGAGAUGGGGAGUGCGCCUGGAGGAAAUAUUACUGUCUUGUAUUAGUCUGUUUCUGUUCUUGCACUCCUCCCAAAGAAUCCCACCCUCAUGGACAGGGUACUAGUUUAGGUGCAUUUUUGGCUGUUCUUGUGGGAAUUUUGUCAGCGUUUAAAUUUACCGUAGAAAAUCUUCA